GCGCCUCCCGAGCCGAGCCGAGCCGGCGCCCGCGCGGACCCCCGGGACGCGGCCUGGAGCUGCAGUCGCCUUCGGGGGCCGCUGUCACCCGCAGACCCGGAGCCCUUGGGCGGAGGGAAGGGCCCCGACUCGCCGUGCCAGGUGGGCAGGCCUUCCCCACGGAAUUAAAUGCGCCUCAACCGAAAUCCCGGCGCGCCGCCUCCCUCUGCCCCACACGGAGCUCGCAGCAGCGUUUUAAGAUCUUUGUGGUGAACCGAGACCAGACAUUCAUCUGUGAACCUGCCACCGAAACAGUGGCUGUUGCAGUCAUCCAGAUGAGACGGAUGAUAGUGUGAACAAAGCCAAUGAUAGUGCACAUGGAGCAGAAGGAACAGAUGCAGGACUUACUGUGGCCAUAAAAGUGGAAUAAUUUAGCAACCAAUGGGACAUGAUUGAGUUAGAGGGUGCCUUUUGGGGUCCUCUGGACCUUCUACAAUAGCCCCUAAAGUGGCCAUCUAUCCUCUGCUUGAAUGGCUGGUGACAGAGUGCUCAAAUUUGAGGAGGAGCUAAACACACUGUUGGGUGACUCAUUCUCAAGUCCUGCACCUACAGAAGGCCUCCGUAAUGAAUCAAAUUUGCCUCCUUGUAAAUUCCACCUGGUAAUAGAAAUGCUACCUCCUAGUGCUUCACAUCCCUAGUCUAACUCCUGUUAGACUUAAAGCCCUCCAGAUACUUGAUGGUGGCUCUCAUGUCCUUCUGAAGACUUCUGUUCCUCAGAAUAUGCUGUUCUGGUUACUGAUAUUGUAUAAUAAAUCCCCCCACAAAAUUUAGCAUCUUAAAACGGCAACAAUCAUAUAAUCUCUCACAGUUUCUGUGGGUUGGGAUGGGAAUGUGAGAAGGGCUCUUAUAGGGAGUUCUGGCUCUAGUUCCAUCAUGAGAUUGCAAUCAGAUGGUGGUUGAAGCUGGGACAGUAGGGAGCUGGGGUAGCUGAGUUGGCCAGGCCUUUCUCUCUCUCUCUCUCUCUCUCUCUCUCUCUCUCUCUCUCUCUCUCUCUCUCUCUGUUGUCUCAAGAUUUCUCCAUAUGGUCUUUCUGCAGGAGUAGGCUUGGGCUUCCUCCCAGCAUGGUGGCUGCGUUCCAAGAGUGAGCAUUCCAAGCACACCAGCAGAAGCUAUAUCAUAUCAUCUUUUAUGACCUAACCUCAGAAGUCCUAUAGUGUUACUUCUGCCGUAGUUACGAGCCCUCCCAGAUUCAAGGGGAGGACCAUAGAUAGCCCUCUUAUCUCGAUGGGGGGAAUGUCAAAGUUAUAUCAUGUCUGGUGGGGCAUACUGUUGCCACCCUUUUUGAAAAGUACAGUCCACCACAUAACACGUUCCUUUAACUGUCCUGGCCAUCCUCCACUGACAACAUGUUAUAAUAAAGUCUUAGGAAUUGGAUAAG